rnacentral:rRNA from 1 species
AUGUCGUCAUCCGACAAUUCCAUCACCGCGGCAUUGUCGCGGACAACACCUGUGUUCAGCCUGAGAGUAUGGGUUCUGAUUGCCAUUGGCAUUGGAAUCCUGAUGGCAAUCCUGUUCAUCAUAGUACUGUGGCUUUCCAUCCGAAGGAAGAACAAGGCGGUGAACGGAAUCGACACUACAUCGCAAACAGAAAUCCCUAUUGUGUCCAAGGAAAUCAACAUUGACAAAGGAGUUGACUCACAGAGUGCGAAUGACAGCAGCGAAGUGGCCUUCAUGCCAGUUCAUGACAAAUACACACAGAUGAAGAGUGUGCCACCUUUGGCAGAGACUAGAUCUGUCGACGUCGACGCGUUCAGCCAAUGCAGCUCAGUGUACAACAUAGAAAAGGCUGGAAGCUCAUACUCUGAGGAUUACAACAGCUCAGGUCCAAAGAGGGCAGGCAGUUCACCAUAUGGAUUCACAUCAACCUCGCCGCUGGUUGGCCUGCCAGAGCUAUCACAUUUGGGCUGGGGCCACUGGUUUACCUUGAGGGACCUGGAGUUUGCGACAAAUCGGUUUGCCAAGAGUAAUAUCCUUGGGGAGGGCGGCUAUGGAGUUGUCUACAAAGGCCGGCUUAUGAAUGGGACUGAGGUGGCUGUGAAGAAGAUCCUAAACAAUGUAGGGCAAGCAGAGAAGGAAUUUAGAGUUGAAGUUGAAGCCAUAGGUCAUGUUCGGCAUAAGAAUCUGGUGCGGCUUUUGGGCUACUGCGUUGAAGGGAUACACAGGAUGCUUGUGUAUGAGUAUGUAAACAAUGGCAACCUAGAACAAUGGCUCCAUGGGGCCAUGGGUCAACAUGGUAUCCUUAGUUGGGAAAGCCGUACGAAGAUUCUGCUUGGGACAGCAAAAGCGCUUGCAUACCUUCACGAAGCAAUAGACCCCAAAGUCGUCCACCGAGAUAUCAAGUCAAGUAAUAUCUUAAUUGAUACCGAAUUCAACAGCAAGGUUUCUGAUUUUGGGUUAGCGAAACUUCUGGAUUCCGACGCAAGCCAUAUCAAUACAAGAGUGAUGGGAACAUAUGGGUAUGUCGCGCCUGAGUACGCGAAUAGUGGGAUGCUGAAUGAAAAGAGUGAUAUUUACAGUUUUGGAGUUGUGUUGUUGGAAUGCAUUACAGCUAGGGAUCCAGUUGACUACAGUAAGCCUGCAGAUGAGUCAAACCUUGUGGAGUGGCUUAAAAUGAUGGUUAGCACAAAGAGGGCAGAGGAGGUUGUGGACCCAGGCCUUGAGGUUAAACCACCUAAGCGUGCCCUUAAGCGGGCAAUUUUGGUUGGCCUCAAGUGUGUUGAUCCUGACGCCGACAAGAGGCCGAAGAUGAGCCAUGUUGUCCAAAUGCUUGAAGCGGUCCAGAAAGCAUACCAAGAAGAUGAGAAGAAGCACAGCCAGAUGGGAAGCAUCGAUCUAGAGUCGCAGCAGUCAGUAGAGGAGCUAUCAAACAGUGCUGAUGUCUGA